rnacentral:rRNA from 1 species
UGAGGAAUAUUGGUCAAUGGGCGCAAGCCUGAACCAGCCAUCCCGCGUGCAGGAAGACGGCCCUAUGGGUUGUAAACUGCUUUUCCAGGGGGAGAAUUUUUCUGUCGUGACAGGAAUGGACGGUACCCUGGGAAUAAGCAUCGGCUAACUCCGUGCCAGCAGCCGCGGUAAUACGGAGGAUACGAGCGUUAUCUGGAUUUAUUGGGUUUAAAGGGUGCGUAGGCGGAUUGAUAAGUCAGUGGUGAAAACCUGCAGCUUAACUGUAGACUUGCCGUUGAUACUGUCAGUCUUGAGUGUGGUCAAGGUAGGCGGAAUGUGUAAUGUAGCGGUGAAAUGCUUAGAUAUUACACAGAACACCGAUUGCGAAGGCAGCUUACUGGGCCAUUACUGACGCUGAUGCACGAAAGCGUGGGGAUCGAACAG